rnacentral:rRNA from 1 species
GACGAACGCUGGCGGCGUGCUUAACACAUGCAAGUCGAACGCUGAACCCGCUUCGGUGGGGGAUGAGUGGCGAACGGGUGAGUAACACGUGGGCAACCUGCCCCCGGCUCUGGGAUAACUCCAAGAAAUUGGGGCUAAUACCGGAUGUGACCGCUGGCCGCAUGGUCUGGUGGUGGUAAGGGUUUCCGGCUGGGGAUGGGCCCGCGGCCUAUCAGCUUGUUGGUGGGGUAGUGGCCUACCAAGGCGACGACGGGUAGCCGGCCUGAGAGGGUGACCGGCCACACGGGGACUGAGACACGGCCCAGACUCCUACGGGAGGCAGCAGUGGGGAAUAUUGCGCAAUGGGCGGAAGCCUGACGCAGCGACGCCGCGUGGGGGAUGACGGCCUUCGGGUUGUAAACCUCUUUCAGCAGGGACGAAGCGCAAGUGACGGUACCUGCAGAAGAAGCACCGGCCAACUACGUG